AUUGAACGCUGGCGGCAGGCUUAACACAUGCAAGUCGAGCGGAGAUGAGGUGCUUGCACCUUAUCUCAGCGGCGGACGGGUGAGUAAUGCCUAGGAAUCUGCCUGGUAGUGGGGGACAACGUUUCGAAAGGAACGCUAAUACCGCAUACGUCCUACGGGAGAAAGUGGGGGAUCUUCGGACCUCACGCUAUCAGAUGAGCCUAGGUCGGAUUAGCUAGUUGGUGAGGUAAAGGCUCACCAAGGCGACGAUCCGUAACUGGUCUGAGAGGAUGAUCAGUCACACUGGAACUGAGACACGGUCCAGACUCCUACGGGAGGCAGCAGUGGGGAAUAUUGGACAAUGGGCGAAAGCCUGAUCCAGCCAUGCCGCGUGUGUGAAGAAGGUCUUCGGAUUGUAAAGCACUUUAAGUUGGGAGGAAGGGCAGUAAGUUAAUACCUUGCUGUUUUGACGUUACCAACAGAAUAAGCACCGGCUAACUUCGUGCCAGCAGCCGCGGUAACAC
rnacentral:rRNA from 1 species